CUCAUUUACUCUGAAUGGGAUUGCCAGUAUUUGGUUUUUCUCCUAUUCCUGCAUAAGGAAGAUCACACUUCCCAAACCCUUUGCAAUCAGUCAGGUCCUGUGACUAAUUCUGGUCAGGUAACUGUAACCCAAUGUGAUCGAUCAGGUCAAAGCCAGUGUCUGAAUCUCCAGGUUUUUUUCCUUUUCUGUAAUGACCAAGAAGCUCUUUUUCUCAGAUGGUGCUGCUAUGAGAUUGUAGAAUCUUCAUCAACUGGAUCCCUGAGUGUUUCUAUGGAGCAGAAUCCCUCCCUGCAUCAAUUUAUGAUGGACAUUUAGAGUAAAAAGAAUAUAAACCUAUGUUGUGGUGAGUGGAAUCCAACACUGGGCAGAAGAGGUACCAGUACCUCCCAUUCCAAAGACAACCACAGACAGGAGGAACUAUGUAACCCUUCCUGGGUGUACUGAGAGGCAGCAGACUGUCAUCUCCAUCAUCAUUCCCCACCAGCCCACAUAAAAAGAAUGGAAAGAAGAAGUGAGAAGAGGGGGUAUGGAGAGAGGGGUUAAGAGGAAAGGACAGACUGAGAAGAUUGUUAGGGUGCGAACUGUUGGCUAGUGGAGAAUGUUGUGGCUUUUUCCUCACCUCUCCAAGGGCAGAAAAAGAUAACUGAAAGUGGUCAGAAAGUCAUGGAACUGGGUUAACACAUUUGGCAAGGCUAGGAAAGAGCAGUUCAUCAGCACGUUGGGUGCCAGGAUUGGAGACAAAAGUGAAAGUUCUCCCUGUUCGUAUCCAACACGUUCUGACUGAAUCUAAGCAGUCACCUGGGCAGACUGUUAGGGGGAUAGCCGCCACUGCUGCACACGAGGGAGUCAAUUCACUCAGUGGAAUGUGGAAGACAAUUUUGUCUACUCUUAGGCGGACACUUACGAAGUUGUUCCUGUCACUAACUGCGAUCCAUUUAUAAGCAGCAGGGUGGUGUCCCUAGGAUGUCAAACCCAAGAAUUUAGAGGCAACUACUUGCUUCUACUGGGAGGGAGACGCUGCAGCGUCAAGCAGCCAAGACUGCCCUCCCUCUC